rnacentral:RNase_P_RNA from 3 species
GCAGACGGCUGGAUGAUCGCUGCCGCCCGGGCCCAAAAGGCGUUGGGCGGGGGAGGAAAGUCCGAACUCCGCAGGGCAGUGUGCCGGAUAACGUCCGGGACGGAGGUUUCAAGACCUCUGGACGGCUAGUGCAACAGAAAACAUACCGCCUCGGGCCUCGGCCCGGGGUAAGGGUGAAAAGGUGCGGUAAGAGCGCACCGCGCGUCCAGUAAUGGGCGCGGCAGGGUAAACCCCACACGGAGCAAGACCAAAUAGGCAGGGAUCGCGUCGCUCCUCUCCAGGCGGCGCAGAGCGUAUCGGCCCGAUGCGCCCAGGCGGAGAGACCGGCGAAAGCCGGAGCCGAAACCUGCGGGUAGGUUGCUAAAGCGCCGCAGUAAUGCGUCGCGUAGAGGAAUGAUCGUCUAAAACAGAAUUCGGCUUACGGGCCGUCUGCAAAC